UUUUUAAUAAUGUUACCUUUAUAGGAGGUGUUUUUUCCAAGUGAUGACAUUCUAGGUAGCUUUAAAGAAAAUAAAUAUUGGAAAUUAUUUUGCUAAUUAUUGCACUUUUUACAAGUUCCCAAAUAUACCAUUCUGCAAGAAAUUUAGAAUAGACCCCCAACCAUCUGGCAUGUCCAAAGGGGCCUACUUUUUUCAGUGUUUUUGUAAGUCCAGUUUAUUUUUAUUUUUUGCUAAAACAAUAAAACGAAAAUAUACAGUGAAGGUUAUCUGAGAGAAAUUAUUCACAUUUUUUCAAUUGUUUAAAAUGGUUUUAAAUCUCUUUUGUUUCCAUUUGCAGUGCCUCUUGCAGAUAAUAAAAGUACAUGUUAACCUAUUUGCCAGAACAGCAAAAUUGAAGCAAGCUUUGUAGUCUCAAGGCAGAAGUUGGUUGCUACUCAGUGAGACACAGGCAGCUGCGCUUUCAUGGCACUUUGUCUAUGCACUUUAUGUCAAGCUUAGGGAAACAUCAGAGGGGCCCGGCUAUAGAGAUGUGGACUGCAAUUGUUCACACCAGCAGCAGUAAGAAAGUUUUCCUGUGGGAACCAAGCUGGAAUUUGAGAAAUGAGGUCUGUGUGAGAAGAGGAUCACAACCAGUCACACUUAGCAUUCUUUCUGUAUCACCCUGCAGUGCAAAUGGGAGAACAUCUGGAGGCAUUAACAAACACUGGGAGCCCAGCGUUUGCGUUUCUUCCUCCUAAGUGAGAGAUUACAUUUAUGUUUGCAAGAGAAGAUGGAAAAUUAUUACAGGAGAUGGGUGAGGAAAGACACAUGUUCAGGCUGGGUGUGCUCUAGGUUGACUGUGGGAUGACUGAAAGGAGAACAUUCACACAAACCCAUCUCCAUGCUAUAGAGCAGAACCUAAGAGAGAUAUCAGCUAGUAAACCUGCUGUCUUGUGAGAUGAAGGGUUAGAGCUUGCUUUGGACAACAGGCAUCUCAUUAAGAUCAAUCCUUAUCCCCUGGGGGCAGUCUGGUCUUAUUCCCCCAAGGUGGCAUUUGCACCUGAUAUCCAUCAGUGACAUGAGCUGUAACCCAUCUUCUCCCUGACUGAUAUGGAUGGUGAGGACAUGCCAUGCACUCUGCUCUCUGUCUUAGGAUCUGUUUUUACCAGCAGAGAGCCUUGUCAAAGAAGGAAACAUUCUUGUGAACAAUUUUUUUCAUACCUACUUUGUUGAAAUAAAAAAUAAAAAUAAAAAAAUAUUAUUUUUUUU
rnacentral:lncRNA from 1 species